GCCUACGGGGGGCAGCAGUGGGGGAUAUUGCACAAUGGGGGGAACCCUGAUGCAGCGACGCCGCGUGGGUGAAGAAGCGCCUCGGCGCGUAAAGCUCUAUCAGCAGGGAAGAAAAUGACGGUACCUGACUAAGAAGCCCCGGCUAACUACGUGCCAGCAGCCGCGGUAAUACGUAGGGGGCAAGCGUUAUCCGGAUUUACUGGGUGUAAAGGGAGCGUAGACGGCAGAGCAAGUCUGAAGUGAAAGCCCGCGGCCCAACUGCGGGACUGCUUUGGAAACUGCCCGGCUAGAGUGCUGGAGAGGUA
rnacentral:rRNA from 1 species